GCCCCGGUGGCUCAUCGGUCAAAGUGCGCGCACCAUAAAUGCUGUGUCCUUCUCGCGGCGACCUGGGUUCGAUUCCAACUCGGGUCA